GCAACAGCUCAAAUUUGAAAUCUGGCUCCUUCGGGGCCCGAGUUGUAAUUUGGAGAGGAUGUUUCGGGCACGGUCCGGGCUUAAAUUUCUUGGAACAGAAUGUCACGGAGGGUGAGAAUCCCGUCUGGAGCUCGGACACGACCCAUGUGAAACUCCUUCGACGAGUCGAGUUGUUUGGGAAUGCAGCUCUAAAUGGGUGGUAAAUUUCAUCUAAAGCUAAAUAUUGGCCAGAGACCGAUAGCGCACAAGUAGAGUGAUCGAAAGAUGAAAAGCACUUUGAAAAGAGAGUUAAACAGUACGUGAAAUUGUUGAAAGGGAAGCGCUGGCAACCAGACUUGCGCGUCGGGGUUCCCCCUUGCUUCUGCCUGGGUUACUCCCCGGCGUUCAGGCCAACAUCGGUUUCGGGGGUCGGUUAAAGGCCCUGGGAAUGUACCUACCCUCCGGGGUAGACUUAUAGCCCAGGGUGUCAUGCGGCCUCCCGGGACCGAGGAACGCGCUUCGGCUCGGAUGUUGGCGUAAUGGUUGUCAGCGACCCGUCUUGAAACACGGACCAAGGAGUCUAACAUCUAUGCGAGUGUUAGGGUGUCAAACCCUUACGCGGAAUGAAAGUGAACGGAGGUAGGAAGCCUUACGGCUGCACUAUCGACCGAUCCUGAAGUUUACGGAUGGAUUUGAGUAAGAGCAUAGCUGUUGGGACCCGAAAGAUGGUGAAC
rnacentral:rRNA from 1 species